GUACACUCCUACGGGAGGCAGCAGUGGGGAAUUUUGGACAAUGGGCGAAAGCCUGAUCCAGCAAUGCCGCGUGAGUGAAGAAGGCCUUCGGGUUGUAAAGCUCUUUUGUCAGGGAAGAAACGGUGAAAGCUAAUAUCUUUUGCUAAUGACGGUACCUGAAGAAUAAGCACCGGCUAACUACGUGCCAGCAGCCGCGGUAAUACGUAGGGUGCAAGCGUUAAUCGGAAUUACUGGGCGUAAAGCGUGCGCAGGCGGUUUUGUAAGUCUGAUGUGAAAUCCCCGGGCUCAACCUGGGAAUUGCAUUGGAGACUGCAAGGCUAGAAUCUGGCAGAGGGGGGUAGAAUUCCACGUGUAGCAGUGAAAUGCGUAGAUAUGUGGAGGAACACCGAUGGCGAAGGCAGCCCCCUGGGUCAAGAUUGACGCUCAUGCACGAAAGCGUGGGGAGCAAACAGGAUUAGAAACCCCUGUAGUCCCAUG
rnacentral:rRNA from 1 species